UGUCGCGAUUAAUUGCUUUAUCGGAAGCCAAGCUUCCUGACAAUUAAUCUACUCGCUAAAGAAGUGAAACCUAGAUGUUUUUCUAUGUUCUUUAACAAUUUGGAAAGCUGAUAUUAAUAGUAAUCAAUCAAAAUUGAGUAACUGAGAAGUCGAAAGACGUACUUUUUACUCUACUUGACUUGAAUUGCUUGUUAUCAACAUUGAUUGAUAGCAAGGCAAUUCUUCCGAUUAGCUUGUCAUGCAUACAAUAUUACCCUUGUCCGAAUUCAAAAGGCGGACAUGAGGCCGAUACUCAAGGCUUUUUAGGGUUGUAU
rnacentral:misc_RNA from 1 species